rnacentral:rRNA from 1 species
UGAGGAAUAUUGGUCAAUGGGCGGGAGCCUGAACCAGCCAUCCCGCGUGCAGGAAGACGGCCCUAUGGGUUGUAAACUGCUUUUUUAUGGGAAGAAAAAGCCCUACGUGUAGGGCACUGACGGUACCAUAUGAAUAAGCAUCGGCUAACUCCGUGCCAGCAGCCGCGGUAAUACGGAGGAUGCGAGCGUUAUCCGGAUUUAUUAGGUUUAAAGGGUGUGUAGGCGGAUUAUUAAGUCAGUGGUGAAAUCUCACAGCUUAACUGUGAAACUGCCAUUGAUACUGGUAAUCUUGAGUACAGUUGAAGUAGGCGGAAUGUGUAAUGUAGCGGUGAAAUGCUUAGAUAUUACACAGAACACCGAUUGCGAAGGCAGCUUACUAAGCUGUUACUGACGCUGAUGCACGAAAGCGUGGGGAGCGAACAGG